rnacentral:rRNA from 1 species
AGAGUUUGAUCCUGGCUCAGGAUUAACGCUAGCGGAAGGCAUAAUACAUGCAAGUCGAACGGGAUAGGUUUUAGCAAUAGAACCUUGAGAGUGGCGCACGGGUGCGUAACACGUAUGCAACCUGCCUUUAACUGGGGGAUAGCCUCUCGAAAGAGAGAUUAAUACCCCAUAACAUAAUGAAGUAGCAUUACUAUAUUAUUAAAGAUUUAUCGGUUAAAGAUGGGCAUGCGGCUGAUUAGGUAGUUGGUGAGGUAAUGGCUCACCAAGCCAACGAUCAGUAGGGGGUCUGAGAGGAUGUCCCCCCACACUGGUACUGAGACACGGACCAGACUCCUACGGGAGGCAGCAGUAGGGAAUAUUGGUCAAUGGAGGCAACUCUGAACCAGCCAUUCCGCGUGCAGGAAUAAGGCCCUAUGGGUCGUAAACUGCUUUUGUAUGGGAAAAAAUCACCUUAUGUAUAGGGUGUUGAUGGUACCAUGAGAAUAAGGAUCGGCUAACUUCGUGCCAGCAGCCGCGGUAAUACGAAGGAUCCAAGCGUUGUCCGGAUUUACUGGGUUUAAAGGGUGCGUAGGCGGGGAAUUAAGUCAGUGGUGAAAGCUGGUAGCUCAACUAUCAAAUUGCCAUUGAAACUGUAGGGCUUGAGUAUAGUUGCCGUUGGCGGAAUAUGACAUGUAGUGGUGAAAUACAUAGAGAUGUCAUAGAACACCGAUUGCGAAGGCAGCUGACGAAACUAUAACUGACACUGAGGCUCGAAAGUGUGGGGAUCAAACAGGAUUAGAUACCCUGGUAGUCC